UACGGAGUCUGAAAGGUAAAAGGACGUUACUCUUCGGUAGUGAGAGCGUACACAGGUGCUGCAUGGCUGUCGUCAGCUCGUGUCGUGAGAUGUUGGGUUAAGUCCCGCACGAGCGCAACCCUGCAUUCAGUUGCCAUCGGUAAGGCCGGGCACUCUGGAUGGACUGCCGGCGACAAGCCGGAGGAAGGUGGGGACGACGUCAAGUCAUCAUGGCCCUUAUGUCCAGGGCGACACACGUGCUACAAUGGCCGGCACAACGGGAAGCGAAGGGGCGACCCUGAGCGGAUCCCACAAAAGCCGGUCUCAGUUCGGAUUGCAGUCUGCAACUCGACUGCAUGAAGUUGGAAUCGCUAGUAAUCGUGGAUCAGCCAAGCCGCGGUGAAUACGUUCCCGGGCCUU
rnacentral:rRNA from 1 species